rfam:Triticum aestivum genome assembly, contig: Triticum_aestivum_CS42_TGACv1_scaffold_064113_1DL
CAUCUACUCCCUCCGCCCGGAAAAGCUUGUCCCAAGUUUGUUCCUCAAAUAGAUAUAUCUAGCACUAACUUGGUGCUAGAUACAUCCCAUUUGAGGGACAAGCUUUUUCAGACGGCGGGAGAACUUG